rnacentral:lncRNA from 1 species
ACAGGUGUUGUUGAGGCGGUAGUAGGGUCGGUCCCCAUGAUCCCUCCCACAAUGUUGACAGAUCUUACUGCAUCCUGCCACUAAAGCCUGAGGGAGAGCCUAGAUCACCGGCCUGGGCCUCUUGUUCUGUUGAACAGGCAUAAUAGGUACUGGUCUAUGGGGUGGAGCUGAGGGUCUGAGAUUCCCUGCUGCCUGAGAGAAGGUGCGGAAGCUACUCUCCACUAGUUGUGCCUUGGCCAAAACGACCGAAUAAGUCCUGAGCUCCAGCACAAAUAAAUGUUGUCUGAUCUCUGGGUGGAGGCCCCACUUGAACCUCCUAGCCUUCCUACCUUCAUCUAACAAUGUCUCAAGGAAAUAUCGGCCCAACUCUAGGAACUUGCAAGCAUAUUCUAACACAGUCAUGUUCUCCUGGACUAACUGUACAAUCUCCAUCUCCUUCAAAUGUCGGAGAUGUUCUGGAAGGUACUCUGCAUGAAAAGCUGAUAAGAACUGUUUCCAAGUAACUGAAACAGGUAGGGUGG